rnacentral:rRNA from 1 species
CCAGCAGCCGCGGUAAUUCCAGCUCCAAUAGCGUAUAUUAAAGUUGCUGCAGUUAAAAAGCUCGUAGUUGGAUCUUGGGAGCGGGCGGGCGGUCCGCCGCGAGGCGAGCCACCGCCCGUCCCCGCCCCUUGCCUCUCGGCGCCCCCUCGAUGCUCUUAGCUGAGUGUCCCGCGGGGCCCGAAGCGUUUACUUUGAAAAAAUUAGAGUGUUCAAAGCAGGCCCGAGCCGCCUGGAUACCGCAGCUAGGAAUAAUGGAAUAGGACCGCGGUUCUAUUUUGUUGGUUUUCGGAACUGAGGCCAUGAUUAAGAGGGACGGCCGGGGGCAUUCGUAUUGCGCCGCUAGAGGUGAAAUUCUUGGACCGGCGCAAGAC